GCCCGGUUAGCUCAAUCGGUAGAGCGUGAGACUUUUACGAAAGGAUUCGCGAUCUCAAGGCUGCGGGUUCGACCCCCGCAUCGGGCA
rfam:Stachybotrys chlorohalonata IBT 40285 unplaced genomic scaffold scaffold373, whole genome shotgun sequence.